ACAGAGGACAAUGAUCAAUGAUUGAAGUUAAACCAAAUGAAGGGAUUAUUGCUGGAAUUGACCUAGGAUUAUGCCUAUGGAGUUACCAGGUUGUAACACUUGGAGGCGGAACCCAGUGAAAUGAGGCUUUGGAGGAUUUAACCAAUGGAUUCUUAUCUCACUCCAAGAAAAAUGAGACAUUUUUCAUUUUCUUCUUUAUGGUGUUAAAUAAAAUCACCUAAGAAAGCAAACUCUAGGAAGAAAGAAGUAUGUGGAGAAAGACGGAACACAGUGUAUUAGUUUAUGUCUUAAGGUUUCAAAGCUUUUCGUUUUACUUUAAGAUAGAUGAAUGAUAUAAGAGUGGCCAUUUUUGUCCGAAGCAGAGAUUUCUAACUUCUCAAAGUAAGACGAAGGAGGUUUUCUCAACGGGUAACAAAUACAUGCACAUUAAUAAAAAAUAACAGUUUCU
rnacentral:lncRNA from 1 species